GGAAAAUAACAAGCGUUGGUGAAGGCCCUCAGCCAACUACAUGGUGCCCACCCACAAUGAGGAAGGUGAUCUUCUUUACCCAGUCCACUGACUCAAAUGCUAAUCUCUUCCAGAAACACCCUCACAGAUGCACCCAGAAAUAGUUUUAUCAGCUAUCUGGGCAUCCCUGAUCCCAGUCAAGUUGCCACAAAAUAUUGACCAUCACAAUGAGGUUGGUGUAUAUUUCUAAGAAAAUGCUCAACUGUUUCCAAAAAUAGUCAUAUCAUUUUACUGUCAUGCCAGCAAAGUAUUCAGUUGCUGCACAUCCUCUGCAACACUUGGUGUUGUUGGGCACAUUAAUUUUAACUGUUCCAGUGGGUGUUAAUUUGCAUUUCUCUGAUGAGCAAUGAUGUUGCACACUUUUUCAUAUGCUUCAGGGCCAUUCAUAUAUCUUCCUUUGUGAAGUAUCUGUUAGGACUUUUGCCCAUUUUUUAAUAAGAUUGUUGGCCUUAUUAUUGAGUUAUUGUUGUUUUCUAUAGACUCUAAAUAUGGAUUAUUUGUCAGAUAUAUGUAAAUAAAUAUUCCUUCCCCACCUGUAGCUUGCCUUUUCAUUUUCUCAGGAAUGUCAUUUGAAGAGCAGAGUCUUUGAUUUUGAUGGAGUCCAACAUGUCCAUAUUUUUUUUAUUUUAUAGUUAGCACAUUUUUGUCUUGUCUAAGUAGUCUCUACCUAUCCCAAAGUUGUGAAGAUAUUUUUUCCCAUGUUCCCUUCUAGAGGCAUUAUCAUUUUAGCUUUUACAUUCCAUCUUCAUUUUUGAUCCAUCUUCAAAUGAUCCAUCUUCAUUUUUGUGUGUGGUGUGAGGUAGGGGGUCAAGGUUUAUUUUUUUCCCCUAUGGAUAUCCAAUUAUUCCAGCAUCUUUUGCUGAAAAGGCUAUCACUGGUUAUCUUGGUACUUUUACAAAUCAAUUAACUAGAUAAGUAUGAGUCUGUUUCUGGACCUUCUGUUCUGUUUGAUGGAUCGGUUUGUUGACCCAUACACCAAUGUUACAUUGUUUUGAUUCCCCUGACUUUACUUACUGAUGACUUUUGAGUCCGGGUCUCUCUCCCACCUUUUGCUCUUCUUCUCUCCUUCUCACUAGCUCAUCAUUCUCCAGGGCUGCGGGGUAGGGGAUUUGGGCUCUAGUCUUAGCUCUGCCUCUAAGUUACUGCAGUUACCACUUUUGCUUUCUUGGUCUCCUUUCCCUAUCCAUAAAAUGGAGAUAAGUUGAAACAAGAACGCUUCCCCCAUAAAAGACUUGAUUUUUAGGUUGAUUUCCAUGUUACUAGGAAGGAAAACAAGAGUAGAGGACAGCUUUCUGUAAAAUGCUUUCCUGACAUUCUAGAGCCCAAAAUCAAAGCCAAAAGCAGGAGGGAAAAGCAGUAACCUGACCCCAGCCUGGUAAAAUAACCUUUUUUUUCUCACUUAUUCUUCAUCAUGCUCACUUUUGAAGACAGACCACUGCACAUUAAGUCCAGCCCAGUCGAUACACUGUCUAGGAGGCACAGAGUGUUAGCUGUUUCUCACUGUGCCUCUAUCUGCCCUGUCAUUCUGUCUCAGCUCUGACUCUCCCCAACAUCUCCCCGCCUGCUCCACAAUGGCCUAGUGGUUAAGUUCCUGAGUCAGCCUGCCUGUGUUCACAUCUCAGCUCGGCUGUUUAACAAAACAGUGGGUUUGGGCAAGGUGCUUUUUGCCUUUGGGCUUUGGUUUCUUCAGUGCAAUAAAGGAAAUAAGAACAGUACCCACUUCGUGGGUUGUUGUGAGACAUCAUUAAGACAAUGCAUAUAAAAUGUUUAGCAUAAUAUCAGCCAUUACUGUAAAUGUUCAAAAAAUGUUAGCCACUGUGGUGGUUUUUUUGACACUGCUCCUUUGAAAAGAUAGAGCCUAAUUCCUCUACCCUCAAAUGUGGGACAGACUUGGUGCCUCACUUCUAACAAAUGGAGUGUGCAGGAAGUGAUGGUGUGUGACCCCUGACACUAGGUCAUAAGGGAUAUUGCCACAGGAGCCUGCAGAGAGACCUAUGUGGGAAGGAACUGAGGCCUCCUGCCAAUGACUGUCGCCAACUUGUGAGCUGUGUGAACAAUCCAUCUUGGAAAAGGAUGCCCCAGUCCAAGCUGAACCUUGUGAGACAGCAGCCCUGGCUGACAUCCUCACUACAACCUCAUGAGACACCCUGAGCCAGACCACACAGCUCAGCCAUGCCUGAGCUCUGAAUUCCCAACCCACAGAAACUGUAUGAGAUAAUAAAUGUUCAUUGCUGUUUUAAACCGCUACAUUUUGGGGUAAUUUUUAUGCAGACCCAUAUAAAUAAUUCAGCCACCAUUAGUAGUGGUAGUAGUGGUAACUGAAUCCUAUUAUCCUUCAACCCCCAGUUCGUGUUCUACUGCCUCCAAAAAGCCUUUGUCAAGGAAAGAGAAGGUGGUAAGGAAAUAUCCAAUUCCCCCUGUUUCUAAAGUAACCGCACCCCAUGUUUUAGCUGGGCCACCUGGGUAAGAGGUUGUAUUUUCCAGCCUCCCUUGCUUGUCUUUCUCUUUCAUAGACACCCACACGUGCACACAUAGCUUUGUUCCAUCACCCUACUGUGUCCUCUAAGAAACAUCUGCAAUGAGCCCAAGAUAUUCUGGAUGCUAACAGAAAGCUGAUUUAAGAAACAGAAGAUUUGGAUCUAAAUGGCUUGAGGGGAGUGGGGGAGAGGUGGGUGUGAGGACCCUGGGAUUAGACUAGGGUUCAAAUCUCAGGUCCUCAAUCAAGCUGUGGGGACAAGAGCUAGCCUGUCCUGACCUCAAUCCUUCACUUUAAAAGGAAGAAAAUGGGGUUGCUGUGAAGAGGUAAUGGGCUGGAAGAGGCCCUAUGAUAGAAGUAGUAUGUGCAACUUCCAGAAUGUAUCCUUAACAGGAAAAGGUAUAACUUUCUCCUUUCUACCAAUUGCAAUGCAGAGAUGCUAGGGGUGCCGCCUUGGAUUAUAACAUAAUCUUGGGAAUAGAGACCAUGAACACAGAACAAAAAACUAGAGGGAGCUGGAGUUUCUAACACCACAGAGCACCAGUCCUGCACCACAUACCUGCCAUCUUUCACGUGAGAGAGAAAUACAUUUCUGUCUAUCUUGCUUAAGCCACUGAUAUUUUGGGGUUUGUUACUCACAG
rnacentral:lncRNA from 10 species